UCGCCCCACGGCCGAACGUUUCUCCGCCUCACGGCCGACCUGUCCUCGCCUCACGGCCGACCUGUGAUCGCCCCACGGCCGAACGUUGCUUCGCCUCACGGCCGACCUGAUGAUCGAUAGACGGGAAAGCGCGUGUGACAUCGGAAGGAGCUUGGAAAGGAUAAGAUUGGAAUGUCUGAGCUAAGGCUAAAUCCAACCUAAUCAUCUUCAACUGCAAAAAGAUAAAGUUUGACCACCUUUUUAUGUGACACCCUGGAUGGAUGAAUGUAUGCGUGAAAACCAAACUAAAAGAAUAGAAUCUUAAAGAGUUAAUCCCCACAAUUGAAGGUAUGUAGUAAUAUUUUACUUGGU